rnacentral:rRNA from 1 species
GACGAACGCUCGCGGCGUGCCUAAUACAUGCAAGUAGAACGCUGAAGGAGGAGCUUGCUCUUCUGGAUGAGUUGCGAACGGGUGAGUAACGCGUAGGUAACCUGCCUGGUAGCGGGGGAUAACUAUUGGAAACGAUAGCUAAUACCGCAUAAGAGUAGAUGUUGCAUGACAUUUGCUUAAAAGGUGCAAUUGCAUCACUACCAGAUGGACCUGCGUUGUAUUAGCUAGUUGGUGGGGUAACGGCUCACCAAGGCGACGAUACAUAGCCGACCUGAGAGGGUGAUCGGCCACACUGGGACUGAGACACGGCCCAGACUCCUACGGGAGGCAGCAGUAGGGAAUCUUCGGCAAUGGACGGAAGUCUGACCGAGCAACGCCGCGUGAGUGAAGAAGGUUUUCGGAUCGUAAAGCUCUGUUGUAAGAGAAGAACGAGUGUGAGAGUGGAAAGUUCACACUGUGACGGUAUCUUACCAGAAAGGGACGGCUAACUACGUG